rnacentral:rRNA from 1 species
CAGGAUGAACGCUAGCGACAGGCUAACACAUGCAAGUCGAGGGGCAGCAUAAAAGUAGCAAUACUUGGUGGCGACCGGCGCACGGGUGAGUAACGCGUAUGCAACCUACCUAUCAGAGGGGAAUAACCCGGCGAAAGUCGGACUAAUACCGCAUAAAACAGGGGCACCGCAUGGUGAUAUUUGUUAAAGAGAUUCGCUGAUAGAUGGGCAUGCGUUCCAUUAGGUAGUUGGUGAGGUAACGACUCACCAAGCCGACGAUGGAUAGGGGAACUGAGAGGUUGGUCCCCCACACUGGUACUGAGACACGGACCAGACUCCUACGGGAGGCAGCAGUGAGGAAUAUUGGUCAAUGGGCGAGAGCCUGAACCAGCCAAGUCGCGUGAAGGAAGAAGGAUCUAUGGUUCGUAAACUUCUUUUGCAGGGGAAUAAAGUGCAGGACGUGUCCUGUUUUGUAUGUACCCUGAGAAUAAGGAUCGGCUAACUCCGUGCCAGCCGCCGC